GCUCUAUGUGUGCCUAGGACCAAAGAAGAAGUUGGCCAUCUUUGUGCUAUCAUAGUGAAGAAAGUAGUCCAGACUGCUCAUUAUUACCUGCUCCCAGUCCUCAGUGAAAUUCUGGGAUGUCCUGUCUCAUACGUAUGUGGAAUGACAAGAUCAGGGCAACAAACAUUUUGGGUAAGCACCUCAGAGGCCAAGAGACCUGAAGGAUCAUCUCUACGCCAAGGAUCUCCGGGGAUAACAAAUGAAAUGUUCUUGGCAGCAGCCAAGAAAGAAGUCGAUGAGAUUUUUCGAGAAUCUGUCAGAAUAGUCAGUGGUUUGGAUCCAGUUGUGCCUGCCUUACC